GACAGAGGUGCCGAGCGUUAGGCGGAAUCACUGGGCUUAAAGCGUGUGUAGGCGGACUUCUAAGUACCUUGUGAAAUCCCACGGCUCAACCGUGGAACUGCUCGGUAUACUGGUUGUCUUGAGCCACUUAGGGGCAGUCGGAACAGACGGUGGAGCGGUGAAAUGCGUAGAUAUCACUUGGAACGCCAAUGGUGAAGACAGCUCGCUGGGGGUGUCCUGACGCUGAGGCGGCGAAAGCCAGGGGAGCGAACGGG
rnacentral:rRNA from 1 species